rnacentral:lncRNA from 10 species
CUUUUGAUGAGGACUUUGCACGACCCAAUGGCUUAUUGGCUCGGGAACGCAAGCUUUGCCAAGAUCUAGUCCAUAGCAACAAAAAGGAACAGGAGUUUUGUUCCAUUUUCCAGCACAUACAGUCAGCUCAGUCUCAGCGUAGCCCCUCAGAACUGUUUGCCCAACAUAUAGUGACCAUUAUUCACCAUGUUAAAGAGCAUCACUUUGGGUCCUCAGGAAUGACAUUACAUGAACGCUUUACUAAAUACCUAAAGAGACUAACUGAGCAGGCGGCAGCCAAAAACAAGAAAAGCCCAGAGAUACACAGAAGAAUAGACGUUUCCCCCAGUACCUGGCUACAACGCUGAGGGAAAAUACAAAGAUGAUCCUGUUGAUCUCAGCCUUGAUAUUGAACGUCCCACCAUUCCCAGCCAGGAGAGAGAUCUUAAAUUAGGUAAAUCGAGAGGAUCAGUGGAUUCCUGAGACUCCAGGCCCUCGAGGAAAAGGUCAGCUGAGAAAACAGAGAAAACUCAUAAAGGAUCAAAGAAGCAGAAGAAGCACCAGAGAUCGAGAGACAGGUCCAGAUCCUCCUCUUCCUCCCAGUCAUCUCACUCCUACAAAGCAGAAGAGUACACGGAAGAGACAGAGGAAAGAGAGGAAAGCACCACGGGCUUUGAGAAAUCGAGACUGGGGACCAAAGUCUUGGUGGGUCCAAGUGAAAGA